AUAUCUUUCUCGGUCUUUUGACUAAGACAAAAUGUCAUAUUUGUUCUUGUCAGUUUAAUAUAUGAUAUAUGGAUCAUAUAUUUACUUUGAUAUUAUAUUUAUCUUUUAUAGGUAUAUAAGAUAUGGGUGUGUGUCGUCGCAACGUACGUACGAGUAUUGGUACUAGUUACUCCCUUUGUUCCAAUUUA
rfam:Zea mays cultivar B73 chromosome 6, whole genome shotgun sequence.